rnacentral:rRNA from 1 species
GAUGAACGCUGGCGGCGUGCCUAAUACAUGCAAGUCGAGCGAACAGACGAGGAGCUUGCUCCUCUGACGUUAGCGGCGGAGGGGUGAGUAACACGUGGAUAACCUACCUAUAAGACUGGGAUAAAUUCGGGAAACCGGAGCUAAUACCGGAUAAUAUAUUGAACCGCAGGGUUCAAUAGUGAAAGACGGUUUUGCUGUCACUUAUAGAUGGAUCCGCGCCGCAUUAGCUAGUUGGUAAGGUAACGGCUUACCAAGGCAACGAUGCGUAGCCGACCUGAGAGGGGGAUAGCCGACACGGGAGCUGAGACGCGGUCCAGACUACUACGGGAGGCAGCAGUAGGGAAUCUUCGGCAAUGGGCGAAAGCAUGACGGAGCAACGGCGCGUGAGUGAUGAAGGUCUUCGGAGCGGAAAACUCUGUUAUUAGGGAAGAACAAAUGUGUAAGUAACUAUGCACGUCUUGACGGUACCUAAUCAGAAAGCCACGGCUAACUACGUG